AGCGAACGCUGGCGGCAGGCCUAACACAUGCAAGUCGAACGCCCCUUCGGGGGAGUGGCGGGCGGGUGAGUAACGCGUGGGAAUGUGCCCUUUGGUACGGAACAACUGAGGGAAACUUCAGCUAAUACCGUAUGUGCCCUACGGGGGAAAGAUUUAUCGCCAUUGGAGGAGCCCGCGUUGGAUUAGGUAGUUGGUGGGGUAAUGGCCCACCAAGCCGACGAUCCAUAGCUGGUCUGAGAGGAUGAUCAGCCACACUGGGACUGAGACACGGCCCAGACUCCUACGGGAGGCAGCAGUGGGGAAUCUUGCGCAAUGGGCGAAAGCCUGACGCAGCCAUGCCGCGUGAAUGAUGAAGGUCUUAGGAUUGUAAAAUUCUUUCACCGGAGAAGAUAAUGACGGUACCCGGAGAAGAAGCCCCGGCUAACUUCGUG
rnacentral:rRNA from 1 species